AGUAGUGUAGGAGAGUGGUCAAAUCCGUUGCACUUAAGAUGCAAUACCUUCGCGUUUCGCGGGUUCGAAUCCCGCCGCUACUA
rnacentral:tRNA from 1 species